GGAUGAACGCUAGCGGCAGGCUUAACACAUGCAAGUCGAGGGGUAUAGUUCUUCGGAACUAGAGACCGGCGCACGGGUGCGUAACGCGUAUGCAAUCUGCCUCUCACAGAGGGAUAGCCCAGAGAAAUUUGGAUUAAUACCUCAUAGUAUUAUGAAGUGGCAUCACUUUAUAAUUAAAGUCACAACGGUGAAAGAUGAGCAUGCGUCCCAUUAGCUAGUUGGUAAGGUAACGGCUUACCAAGGCUACGAUGGGUAGGGGUCCUGAGAGGGAGAUCCCCCACACUGGUACUGAGACACGGACCAGACUCCUACGGGAGGCAGCAGUGAGGAAUAUUGGUCAAUGGGCGCAAGCCUGAACCAGCCAUGCCGCGUGCAGGAUGACGGUCCUAUGGAUUGUAAACUGCUUUUGUACGAGAAGAAACACUCCUACGUGUAGGAGCUUGACGGUAUCGUAAGAAUAAGGAUCGGCUAACUCCGUGCCAGCAGCCGCGGUAAUACGGAGGAUCCAAGCGUUAUCCGGAAUCAUUGGGUUUAAAGGGUCCGUAGGCGGUCUUGUAAGUCAGUGGUGAAAGCCCAUCGCUCAACGAUGGAACGGCCAUUGAUACUGCAGGACUUGAAUUAUUAGGAAGUAACUAGAAUAUGUAGUGUAGCGGUGAAAUGCUUAGAGAUUACAUGGAAUACCAAUUGCGAAGGCAGGUUACUACUAAUGGAUUGACGCUGAUGGACGAAAGCGUGGGUAGCGAACAGGAUUAGAUACCCUGGUAGUCCACGCCGUAAACGAUGGAUACUAGCUGUUGGGGGCAACUUCAGUGGCUAAGCGAAAG
rnacentral:rRNA from 1 species